CCCUUAGAUGUUCUGGGCCGCACGCGCGCUACACUGACGAUGGCAACGAGUUUUUCCUUCGCCGAAAGGUGUGGGUAAUCUUUUGAAACAUCGUCGUGCUGGGGAUAGAUCAUUGCAAUUUUUGAUCUUGAACGAGGAAUUCCUAGUAAGCGCGAGUCAUCAGCUCGCGUUGAUUACGUCCCUGCCCUUUGUACACACCGCCCGUCGCUACUACCGAUUGAAUGGUUUAGUGAGGACUCCUGAUUGGCGCCGCCGCCCCGGCAACUGAGCAGCGGACUGCCGAAAAGUUGUUCAAACUUGAUCAUUUAGAGGAAGUAAAAGUCGUAACA
rnacentral:rRNA from 1 species